UUGAGCGGAGAUAUAUGGAGCUUGCUUUAUAUAACUUAGCAGCGAACGGGUGAGUAACACGUAGAUAAUCUAUCCUAUACUGGGGGAUAGCCCGAUGAAAGUUGGAUUAAUACCGCAUAUAGCUAUAUAGUUGCAUGAUUAUGUAGUGAAAGAUUUAUUGGUAUAGGAGGAGUCUGCGGCACAUUAGCUAGUAGGUGAGGUAAAGGCUUACCUAGGCGACGAUGUGUAGCCGGUCUGAGAGGAUGAACGGCCACAAUGGAACUGAGACACGGUCCAUACUCCUACGGGAGGCAGCAGUGGGGAAUAUUGCACAAUGGGGGAAACCCUGAUGCAGCAACGCCGCGUGAGUGAAGAAGGUUUUCGGAUUGUAAAGCCCUGUUAGCAGGGAAGAGGAAGGACGGUACCUGCAGGGGAAGCCACGGCUAACUACGUGCCAGCAGCCGCGGUAAUACGUAGGUGGCAAGCGUUGUUCGGAAUAACUGGGCGUAAAGGAUGCGUAGGCGGUUAAACAAGUUAUAUGUUAAAUAUAUAGGCUUAACCUGUAGAAAGCAUAUAAAACUGUUUAACUAGAGUGCAGGAGAGGUAAGUGGAAUUCCUAGUGUAGCGGUGAAAUGCGUAGAGAUUAGGAAGAACACCAGUGGCGAAGGCGACUUACUGGACUGUAACUGACGCUGAGGCAUGAGAGCAUGGGGAGCAAACAGGAUUAGA
rnacentral:rRNA from 1 species